rnacentral:lncRNA from 1 species
UCGAGGAGCCGCAUGCGAGUUGGGCCUAGCCCUUAUUAUUGCUACAUGACGCACUAGUUUCAUUGCAUAUCCUGCUACACCGGGAGAGGCAUACAUUUGCAUACAUCAUGAUAGUUUUCACUUGUCUUUAUGUGAGUACUUCUUAUAAGGUGUGAUGAUCUUCUUUUUAUUCUUGUAAAACAUAGCGUGUUGCCCUUAAGUGAGGAAAAUAUCCCAAAGAGGACAAAUGAAAAGAUCCCAAAGAAAACAAAUGAGAGAUAAAAAGAAAGAGCCAACGAGGCCACAAAAAAAUAAAAAA